ensembl:lncRNA
AUGAAAAACCAAGUUAAGAAAAAUGAGCUUACUUGGGCAGACUGCUUUUUUCCUACCUAUUCUUGGAAGGAGGAUUUCCCUGCUCUGACUAAGCCUCUCCAACUAAAAUUACGGCAGAGAAGGAGUGGGUUAGGAAAUAAAAUAAGAAGAGAAAUAACUGUUCAUUUCCCUAUUUCAGGCAUGAAACAUUGGAAGAACCGAUAUUGCGCAUCAAAAAGAAUCUGACUCGGACCACGUUGGACCACGUUAACAGAUGUUUCCUGCUCUUCUGCAUUCUUCACUGCCACCUCAAGCCAAUCAAAUGAAAAUCCAGAAUCAGAAAUCAUAAAGUGUAGUUUAGAUAAAUUCUGUUAAAUUGAUUUUGUUCCAUUUUGUAAUGGAGAGUUGAAUAUAAUAAGAACUCUCCUAUUACUAUCAUGGAGGAUGGCAGACGCUUUGCAAAAAUAAAAUAAAAUAGCAACUGCACUUAUGAUAUUUCUGUGUUUGCUUUCAAACUCACUCGUGAAGGAGGCUAAUUGUUACUGCUGGGAUUGGUUCCAACCGCAUGUAAGUGAGGCGACAACAAUCUUGUGCUGCUAAAGUUAAUGCAGAUGGCACUGGAAUCUAAGUAGUCACUGAGUGCCUCUGCAAAAAUACAGACUGCAGUAAUGCUUCAUUGAUUCUCCCUUAGGUAGGUAUUUCAUGCCCACUUAAGGAUGGAGUCCAUCUUUUCAGGCUAGAUAAUUUACCCCCCAGUCUGAAGUUCUAAUCCCAUGCAUAUCAGAGUAUACUUGAUGCACAUAGUGACAUGGGGCCCAUUGAAUUUACAAAAUUACAGCAUUAUGGUUCCACCUUAAUUGCCUUGGCAAAUUCCUCUGGAAUCUUGAGAGGUGUAGUUUGGUGAUUCACUAAAGCACUCCGGCUGACAUUUCUAAUUUCCUGGCCUAAGCCACAAUUUCCAGAAUUCCACAUAGCAUGAAAGUGUUGUAUAAGUAAGGUUGCAUUCAUUAGGAUUAGUUGAAUAAUAGAAAUAACAAUACAGAUUUUUUUAAAAGGUGCUUCCACAAACUGAGAUCUGAAGUGAAGAAGAAGGCAUUCAACCCCAUGUUCAGAACAGAGUGUGUGAUGUGUCAGUCCUUGGAAGCUAUAGGUCACAAUGAAUGCUCGCACAGGUAGUUCCAUGGAAACGCUUUAUUGAAAACCUUCUUGCCAAGACGAGCACAAAGCUGUUACUAAUCAACUUCCGCCCGGACCCUAGUAUAUCCUACUACUCCCCCCCAGCCCCCUUCCACAUUCACACUUGUCUGUCGAUAGUCCUUUCCCAGGUUUGAAAACCAGAUCAUGGCCAUAAAUCAAUCCUCCUAGCCAGAUGGUUCUUAUCAUUUAGGUUAUCUCCACCCCAAUUGCUUUUGGCAGGAUGGAAAUAGUUCAGCUAGUGUGAAUGCUGGGCGAUCACAUCCUGACAUGACUCCUCCCUCCGCGAAGAUGACCCUGUGGAGAGAGGUAAAGGGAAAUAAAAGCAAAAAACAAGACAAAACAAACAAUAAAAAAUAUGAGAAUCAGUUAGGGCCCGGGUUUGUGGGGGAAUCAACUGUGAAACAGUUUUACCAGUCUUGGGACCUUAACAUGUUCAGCCGACACCCACUCGGGAUGUAAGGCCUUUGAAAUCCACUGGACCAAGUAGGACAAUUUCCCACAAGACUUCUUGGAGUCUAGAAUGUCUUUGAUCUCAAAAUGGGUAUGCGCCCCCACCAUGAUGGGAGUAGGGUCUGAAUCUGUCUUAUUCCAUUUGUGGGUGGUACACGCCGGCUUCAGCAGGCUAACAAGAAAUACAGGGUGUACUUUGUGCCAAUUAUGAGGUAACUGUAGUCUUACCGCCACAGGGUUUAUCACGGCUGAGAUAGGAAACGGCCCAAUGUAUCAUGGGCUCAGUUUCCAUGAUGGUUGGGUGGAUUUCAGGUGUUUGGUUGACAGAUACACUAAUUUUCCCACCUUAAAGUCCAGGUGUGCUGCUUUCUUUUUAUCCGCAUGUUUUUUGUAAUCCAUCUUAGCCGAAUGCAGUGCAUUUUGAAUCGAAGGCCAAGAGGCAGCAAUCUUCUCCCUCCAGUCUCCUGGCUUUGCGUCGGCGGGUGGGUCCUUAAGUAAUGCUGGAAAUGGUGGGAAAUCCCUACCCUCUACAACCUUAAACUGUGAGACUCCAGUGGAGGCGUGGUCCGAAUUAUCAAUGCAGUAUUCUGUAAAGGGAAGAAGCGAGGCCGAUUAAUUUUGUUGCUAUGUGCUAUAGCAACGGAGAAACUGAUGAAGGGUCUUCUGGAUCCAUUCUGUGGCUCCGUCUGUCUCGGGAUGGAAAGCUAUGCUUAGGGCCCUUUCAGUUCUUAAAAGCCCCAGGAAGGAUUUCCAAAUGCUGGGUGAUCACAUCCUGAUGUAUGUACUUCAUACAACAUGAAACUAUACAUACAUUUCUGCUAAGAUACACAAAACCACCAAAUUCAUCCUCACUGAAGUUCUGAUUUUUCCACUGCCAAGCUCAUACCAUUCCAGUUCCCUGGGAAUCAUUCAUCCCACUUCAAGGAUGUUUGUAGACAUCUUUGCCAACAUUUUCCAAGGGCUUGAGGAGGGAUGAAUCACUCUUUGUAUACACAUGCUUCUUUGAUCAAGCACAUCCACAUAUAUCUGUACACAGAGUUCUAUUCUUUCCUGGUUUUUGAUCUGUGCACAUACGGAAUACUUUUUUUCUUUGUGGAACUGACAAAGGCAUAGAAGUUUAUCAGUUUCCUACUGCAUAUUGUGUUCUAGUCCAAGAAGUGUGCACUAACUAAAUUUCUAGAAACAACAACACAUGAGGGUAUAAACUGU